rnacentral:rRNA from 1 species
CUCGUAGGCGGUUUGUCGCGUCUGCUGUGAAAACUGGAGGCUCAGCCUCCAGCCUGCAGUGGGUACGGGCAGACUAGAGUGCGGUAGGGGAGAUUGGAAUUCCUGGUGUAGCGGUGGAAUGCGCAGAUAUCAGGAGGAACACCGAUGGCGAAGGCAGAUCUCUGGGCCGUAACUGACGCUGAGGAGCGAAAGCAUGGGGAGCGAACA